rnacentral:rRNA from 1 species
UACAGAGACUGCAAGCGUUAUUCGGAUUCACUGGGCGUAAAGGGUGCGUAGGUGGUUGGGAAAGUUUGAUGUGAAAGCUCGGAGCUUAACUCCGAAAUGGCAUUGAAUACUUCUUAACUUGAGGGUCGGAGGGGAGACUGGAAUUCUCGGUGUAGCAGUGAAAUGCGUAGAUAUCGAGAGGAACACCAGUGGCGAAGGCGGCGAUCUGGGAAGAUACUGACGCUGAGGUGCGAAAGCGUGGGGAGCAAACAGG